UUAAUUGAAGAGUUUGAUCAUGGCUCAGAUUGAACGCUGGCGGCAGGCCUAACACAUGCAAGUCGAGCGGAAACGAAGAGUAGCUUGCUACUCUGGCGUCGAGCGGCGGACGGGUGAGUAAUGCUUGGGAACAUGCCUUGAGGUGGGGGACAACAGUUGGAAACGACUGCUAAUACCGCAUAAUGUCUACGGACCAAAGGGGGCUUCGGCUCUCGCCUUUAGAUUGGCCCAAGUGGGAUUAGCUAGUUGGUGAGGUAAUGGCUCACCAAGGCGACGAUCCCUAGCUGGUUUGAGAGGAUGAUCAGCCACACUGGGACUGAGACACGGCCCAGACUCCUACGGGAGGCAGCAGUGGGGAAUAUUGCACAAUGGGCGCAAGCCUGAUGCAGCCAUGCCGCGUGUGUGAAGAAGGCCUUCGGGUUGUAAAGCACUUUCAGUCAGGAGGAAAGGUUAGUAGUUAAUACCUGCUAGCUGUGACGUUACUGACAGAAGAAGCACCGGCUAACUCCGUGCCAGCAGCCGCGGUAAUACGGAGGGUGCGAGCGUUAAUCGGAAUUACUGGGCG
rnacentral:rRNA from 1 species